ensembl:snRNA RNU6-391P RNA, U6 small nuclear 391, pseudogene
UUGCUUUAGCAGCACAUAUACUAAAACUGGAAUGAUACAGAUAAGAUUAGCAUAAGUUCCUGUGUAAGGAUGACAUGCAAAUAAAUGAAGCAUUCCAAAUUUUU